UUGUAAAGUAUCUAUGACAUAAUCCACAUUCGUAUUUUGAAGUUUUAAUUCUCCUAUGCGUCUUCACAGCGCAGAAUAUUCUGUCUGAGGGCGAGAGAUUGUUAUUAUCAUGUCAUAGGGGGCCGCCAUACUUGCUAUACGAAACUAAAAGUCAAUACAUGUAUAAUUUAUGACGUAAAAAAUUCGAAUUCUUCAUUGAUAAAACUUAUUUUGAUAUAAAAAAUUGUAUUUUCAGUGAAAAAUUAUUCAUAUAGUGUUUGUAAUUUUUUUUAAACAGAAAUCUUGGAAAUUCGAAACUAACGUAUUUCUUAGCUCUACCGUACAUUUUUGAAUAGGCGCAAACUUGAAAACGCGCGAGACGUUGGAAGUGGGAAUUUGUAGAGUGGAAGAAUCAGUAUUUGUGAUCUAUUAUUUGCAUAGUCACUGUGCCGUUUUCGUAUUGCAUAAUUUUAUUUCGAUCGGGUUCAAUAUUCUGUUUAUAAUGGUAGCCAUGCUGUUUGCCUGGUGUUUUGGCUGUUAAGUUAGGUGAUGUUGGCAUCCCUGAGGAUUUUUCACCCUCUCACGAGGUGUGUCCAAUAAACAGUACAGUCACUGAUCUUUGUCAACUUUUUAAGAAAAUAACAGAAUAUGAAGAAGGAAGACUAUAUAUAGGAUCGAUCUACUUCAUAACUGGAAAAAGAGAAGCAUAUAACUCUGGCUGCACAAAAAUCUGAGCUCUUGAGAAAGAAAGAAAUAAAGAAAUGAAAAUAUGAAUGAUAUUCAAUCAAAGGAUCCAAAUGAUGAAAUUCUGGAAAUUCCACAUGGAGAGACAAUAAGGAUUUUUGAAUUGACCAUCUCUGCUCAAACUGCUUGAAAGCACUGAAAACUGUUACCCUCACUACUAAGUCAGAAACGUACUGACAUUCCCAUUUUUUACUGACAAACUUAGAAAAUUACUGACAAUGUGCUGUCGUUACUGUAAAACUUAGACAAUUACUGACCUUUUUACUGCCGGUACUGAUAAACUUAGAAAAGUGCUGACAAUCUUAGUCGGUGCUGAUAAACUUAGACAAUUACUGACCCGUUUACUGUCCCUGCUGAAAAACUUAGACAAGUGCUGACAUUUACUGAUAAUUACUGUCCCUAUUGUUCUCGCUCUCGGGGAGGCUGCAGUGGUGUGAAAAUAAUUGUGUGUGAUACUUUGCAUUUAAAAACAGUCUUAUUUUAAUUUUUGAUGAAAAAAAAUCCCAGGCAGUUAUCAUUUUUUUAAUCUAAAUAUUAUUGAUAUCUGUAAAAUAAUUUAGAAUA